AUGGGGUCCACAGAAAGACAACUGGGAAACCUUCACCACAAGACCAGUGAUGAGAGUGAAAUCCAUGACAAAGCAGUCAGUGAGCAGGAGGAAGCAAGUCCUCAGGCUCAUGAUGGUGGGGUCAUGCAGAGGCUUGCAAAUGGUCAGGCACUGAUCCAGAGACAUCACAGCUCAGCAACACCCACUGGUCUUAACCUACAAGAAAGAGAUAUAGGGAACAUGGAGUUUUUAGGGGAGCACAAGAUCAAGUCAUUUAACUGCCUGAGGAGAAGACUGGAGAGAAUAGCAGAGUGGACCAGCAAGUUGAAGAAACACAGAAAGAAAAAUAGUGGGUCCAAAGCUGAAAAGAAAAAGAAGUGGCAUCUGCAGGAUCUCCAGGUAGGGGAUGAAGAAGAUGCUGCGAAGAGAAAUCCCAAAGCUGUUGCAGUUCAGUCCGCUGUGCAGAUGGCUCAAUCCUUUCACAGGACUCAGGAUUUGAAGACAAAACACAUCAUAUUCCAGUGGUUGAUUGAACUCCACUAGAGCCCCCAUCAAUAGUGGCAGUGGUGACGGGGCCUCCAAAGUUGGAAAGAGCACUUUGAUAUAAUGCCUCAUUCCGAACUUCACCUGGUAGAAGUUGACCGAGAUCAGAGGCCUUGUGACGAUCAUGUCAGGUAAAAAGUGCAGACUCACCAUUAUUGAAUGUGGGUGUGACAUUAACGUGAUAGUUUAUCUGGCUAAAGCAGCAGAUCUGGUACUGAUGCUUACAGAUGGCAGCUUUGGGUUUGAAAUGGAAACGUUUGAGUUUCUAAACAUCUGUCAAGUACAUGGCUUUCCUAAAAUUAUGGGAGUCCUCACCCACCUUGACUCCUUCAAGCAUAAUAAACAACUGAACAAGACGAAGAAGCAAUUAAAACACAGGUUCUGGAUAGAAGUUUACCCUGGUGCCAAGCUGUUCUACCUUUCUGGAAUGGUGCAUGGAGAAUAUCAAAACCAAGAAAUCCACAAUCUGGGCCAUUUUAUUACAGUUGUGAAGUUUAGGCCUCUCACAUGGCAAACUUCUCACCCUUAUAUCCUGGCAGACAGGAUGGAAGAUUUGACAAACCCAGAGGAUAUCCGAACAAACAUCAAAUGUGACCGGCAGGUGUCACUUUAUGGUUAUUUAAGAGGAGCACACUUGAAAAAUAAAAGCCAAAUUCACAUGCCAGGUAUUCUCUUGGUAGGAGAUUUUGCCAUGAGUGACAUCGGUUUCCUCUCAGACCCUUGUGCUCUUCCUGAACAACAAAAGAAGCGCUGUUUAAAUGAGAAGGAGAAGCUGGUUUAUGUGCCUCUUUCUGGGGUUGGGCGUAUGCUGUAUGACAAAGAUGCUGUCUAUGUUGCCUUGGUGGCAGCCACGGUUUUCAGGACGAGGUGGGGCCCAUCCAUGAGCUGGUCCAGAGUCUCAUCUCCACCAUCUCCACCACUGAUGCCAAGAUGGCUUCAAGUCGGGUGACGCUGUUUGCUGGUUCCAAGCCACUUGGGUCAGAGGAUAUAGAUAAUCAAGGGCUGUUGAUGUCAAAGGAGGAAAAACAAACGGACUUAAAAACUGGGCGAAUGCGUCAGAAAGCCAUUUUUGGAGACGAAGAUGAAUCUGGAGAUAGUGAUGAUGAAGAAGAUGAUGAAAUAUCUGAAGAUGAUGGGUUGGAAAAUGGCUCUAGUGAUGAGGAAGCAGAAGAGGAGCAAAAUGCUGAGAUGACUGAUCAGUAUAUGACUGGUAAGAGCAUCAAACGAUGGAAACUUGAAGAGUUGGAAGAAGACAGUGAAAUGGAUUUGCCAGCAUUUGCUGACAGUGAUGAUGACCUUGAGAGGAGCUCAGCGGAAGAAGGGGAAGUGGAGGAAGCUGAUGAAAGCAGUGAAGAAGAGGACUGCACUGCAGGAGAGGGGGGCAUUUCAGGAUCAAAGGCUGUUGGAGAAGGUAGUAAAGCAGGGCUGUCGCCAGCUAAUCGCCAGAGUGACCGUGUGAAUCUGAAGUGUUUGCCGAUGAAGAAAGCAGCCCUCAUGACUUCCGAUUCUGGGCAUUACACAGCUGAAGAGGCAUUUGCAUUGGAAGAUAAAUCUAAAGAAAGCUCCUCACUCAGUGCAGAGGAAGAGGACUCAGAAAAUGACGAGGCUAUUAGAAAAAAGUUUUCAAAGCCUUCUCAAGUGAGCAGUGGUCAGAAACUGGGGUCAAGGAACUUAAUUGAUGAGACCAGUGAUAUAGAAGAUUUACUCAAAGAGGAAGAAGAUUACAAGGAAGAAAAUAAUGAUUCCAAAGAAACUUCAGGUGCCCUCAAGUGGAAGGAAGACCUUUCCAGAAGGGCUUUCUGAGGCAGCAGCAAGCAGCUCCAAACCUCUGAAAGCUUAUUUACGGGACCGUGGCAGAAGAUAACGAAGAAGAAGAUCAUGAUACCCAAGAAGAGCUUGCAGGGUUGUUUCACGUCAACCAGCCUGACAGAGACUGGAAGCACAAGGCUGACUCUUUGGACCACUCCAGAUUUCUUGUGGAGGCCCCCCAUGACUGGGAUUUAGAGGAAGCUAUGAACAGUCUCAGAGAUUGUUUCGUGACUGGAAAGUGGGAAGAUGAAAAAGAUGCAGCCAAGGUCUUAGCAGAAGAUGAGGAAUUCUAUGGUGGUUUUGAAGACUUGGAAACAGGGGACGUGCACAAGGGAAAAUCAGACCCCGAUACUCAGAAUGAAGAUGUAGAGAAAGAAGUUAAGGAAGAAAUUGACCCCAACAAAGAGGAAAGUGCCACGAAAAAGAAUUUGGAUAAGAAGAGUAAAUUGAAGGAGAUGUUUGAUGCAGAUUAUGAUGAAGGAAAAAGCACAUAUUUUGAUGAUCUUAAAGGAGAAAUGCAGAAACAAGCACAGCUGAAUCAUGCAGAAUUUGAAGAUCAAGAUGAUGAAGCCAGAGUUCGGUAUGAGGGUUUUCGACCUGGGAUGUACGUCCGCGUUGAGAUUGAAAAUGUUCCCUAUGAAUUUGUGCAGAACUGACCCCCAUUACCCCAUUAUCCUGGGUGGCUUGGGCAACAGUGAGGGAAAUGUUGGAUACUUGCAGAUGCGUCUGAAGAAACAUCGCUGGUAUAGGAAAUCCUCAAGUCCUGAGAUCCAGUCAUAUUUUCUGUAGGGUGGAGGAGGUUUCAGACCAUCCCACUCUAUUAUAUCGAAGACCACAAUGGAAGACAAAGGCUUCUAAAGUAUACCCCACAGCACAUGCAUUGCGGAGCAGCCUUUUGGGGCCCUAUCACUCCACAGGGAACUGGUUUCUUGGCAAUACAGUCUAUCAGUGGCAUAAUGCCUGAUUUUCGGAUAGCUGCCACAGGAGUUGUCCUUGAUCUGGAUAAAUCCAUAAAAAUUGUGAAGAAAUUAAAGCUAACUGGUUUUCCAUAUAAAAUUUUCAAGAAUACUUCAUUUAUUAAGGGAAUGUUUAAUUCUGCCUUGGAAGUGGCCAAAUUUGAAGGUGCUGUGAUUCGAACUGUCAGUGGGAUAAGGGGGCAGAUCAAGAAAGCGCUCCGAGCUCCAGAAAGCGCUUUCCGGGCCAGCUUUGAGGAUAAACUGCUGAUGAGUGGUGAGUGUCUUGAGUAGUGUUCAGGGCAGGGUGUUACCAUUCAUGCUUGACCUCUAGCUAGUGUGAUGAGAGGCUGGAGUCA